GGCGGUGUGCCCGAGUGGCCAAUGGGAGCGGACUGUAAAUCCGUCGGCUUUGCCUACCCAGGUUCGAAUCCUGGCGCCGCCA
rnacentral:tRNA from 1 species